rnacentral:rRNA from 1 species
UACGUAGGGGGCAAGCGUUGUCCGGAAUUAUUGGGCGUAAAGAGCUCGUAGGCGGCUUGUCACGUCGGAUGUGAAAGCCCGGGGCUUAACCCCGGGUCUGCAUUCGAUACGGGCUAGCUAGAGUGUGGUAGGGGAGAUCGGAAUUCCUGGUGUAGCGGUGAAAUGCGCAGAUAUCAGGAGGAACACCGGUGGCGAAGGCGGAUCUCUGGGCCAUUACUGACGCUGAGGAGCGAAAGCGUGGGGAGCGAACAGG